rnacentral:tRNA from 1 species
AAUUAGAUAAGUUAAAAAAACUUUUGGGUUGUGGUCUCAAAUAUACUUAUGGUUCUAAUUC